GGCGAGGAACGGCGGCGGAUGCGCGGGCUGCAGGGCUGCUCCCUUGGAAGGGAGCGGAGGGGACUGGCGGCGCUCGGGCACGGGCAUCGCCGGCAGCGCUCAGCCGUGCCGCGUGGGAUCGCUUGCACCGAGGCAAGCACCCGUUUGGGCGCUCGAGGUGGAGCUAGAGGAGAAAGUCCUCUCCUCCUGACUGGAAAGCAUCCAGAAAAGCUCAGGUGCAGCUCAGAUGCAAGAUGGAGCUCAGCCCUGAGUGAAAACUUCUGGGGAGCGCUGGCUCAAGGGGAGCCGGGACUCUGACAGAAAAGACAGCCGCCUCCAGCCGAGCCCUCCGGUGGGCAAGGGAAUGGCUCCGCAUGCUCUCUGUAACUCAUAUGUGGGAGCGGGGAGAGGGGGGAUGAGUCUGGAGCGCGUCCUUGUGCAGCACCUGGAGCAUCUCUGGAGCAUCUUCACCAGCUUUGUCCCCCCCUGGGACGACCUGCAAACCUUCAAAUUGCGGAAGCAAUGUUCAGAACGAGUCGUAGGUUCCAAGAGGAGAAAUCCUACGUGUGGGAUUCCUCUGAAACCCAGCGGGAACGGAAAUCGAAAAUGAUCAAAAGAUGCAAAACAUGAUCUGAGACAGCUGGAGGAUUUGCACAAGGAGCUGAAGCAACAUCUGGAAACUUCUAAGAGAGGUUUAUAAGAGGUCACCUGCAGACAAGGAUAAAAGGCUCCAGUGUCCGGAGAGUGUGAAAUCCUCCUGGAAGGUUCCCGGUUUAAAAUGGCAAGAUGGAUCAAAGAGGUGAUCAGCAGCAUGACCAUCGUGGAAAAAAAAUUGCUUUCCAGAAAAUAAGAAACGCAAGAAAAGCUUUGGUCAACUUAUGAGCCACAGCGAACCACAGCAGAGAGUUAAGACGCUGAAAAAUCACUCAGAAAAGGAAAUCAAAGGCUUGUAGGUCACCACAGGAAAUAAACAGCCUCCUGCUGGAGACGAGGGCUGGCCAGGACACCACCGAACGCCAAGCGUUUGCCUCCAUUUGCAGUCUGGGAAGAAGAAAUCAGACUGCCCGUCCCUGCUGGGUCUGUGUGAAUGGCGUCUCUUGGAGAAUCAUUUGGGAGGUUUGUUCAGUGCAGUCCGUAACCACAGUGUGAGGGAAGGCCUCUGAGGUGCGGUGCCUAGGGGCCAGCUUGAUUGCUCCAGCUCUUAUGGCGUUGGAUGCUCACCUUCAGGGAAGAAAAGAAAUAAAGAGACUGAACUGUCUAGACUGGGCGUGUGGCACAGAAUCAGCCAUGGGAUUAGAGAGCCGGCCAACCAAGUGCUGCAAAACGCGGGAAAACAAGAUUCUAGUUGAACCAGGAGAGGAUCUGCAUCACUUUGCUUGAGUAACAAGCCAGCCAGUGCUGGAAGGUGCUUCCCAGAAAGCAUCUCGGUAGCUGGAAAGUGAGCUGGGAAACCCAACUGCCCUCCAACAAGAUAUACUUGUGGAGUACAACAGUGUGUAUCUUUCAAGCACCAAGGGAAAUGCACUCUGAUCGUGACAACUUGCAGUGCCUUUGAGCACGUCAAACCUUGAAGUACAGUUGGAGCAGUGAAUAACUCAGUGAGACUACCCAAGUGCCAGCGUGAGACCUUGAGCCAGCUGCAGAAACAGAGCCCUGAGUGUCUGUGAGUGCCAGAACGUCUGAAAAAUGAGAUACAUAUGCAUAUGCACCACAAAGUUUGUCCCAGAUCUGUGGAGAGAGCACCUUGUUACAGCUGCCUGUAGUGUUACACCAACUCAGAAGCACUUUAUUUUUCAUAUGCCUCUGGAAAAAAGGACUUUCUAGUUUGACUACAAAGCACUGACUGCAUGGGACAAGCUGAGCGCACUUGGCACCCUCUGCCAUGCAGAGGAGCUCCCAGUCUCCCUCGCUGACUGAUCCCUCCAUCCCGGCUGUGCUUCCCACCCACGCUGUCAGAAUGAGCAAAGCCAGAGUUCAGUAUCGGCUCGGUUUUAAAUAUCAUUGCUGCAACGGGAAGGAUUUCUUGCUGUCCAUCCUUUCUCUCUGUGGACUCGCAGCUCUGAGAUGGAAGACCAGAGAGCUGAAUGCAGAGAGCCGUAUCUUGCCUUUCUUUUUCAGCUCAUCUUGUCCCUGAAAAGAGAGACACUCAGUGCUACAUCCAAAGCUCCUAUUCCUGCAGUUGCAGCAUUAUAUAAGUCACCAGGCUUAAGAAUAAAAAUCCAAAUUUGUGUAGCUAUAGAAUAAACCAGCAGUACCCAAGCACUGUAACUCUCUGUUGGCAGCAGAGAAGAGCAGGACAUGCCACGGGAAGGCUGAGCCAGCAGAGCUGCAGGUUGCCGCAUCCCAGAGGUGACACCAUCGCAGGGCUUCUGGCCAUCCUUGUGCCAGCACCAGCCUCCUCGGGACGUAGAAGGGGCUGGGUGGCCCUUGGCUGUACGUGACAGGCGUGGUCCUGCUGCAGAAGCUUCUCUCUCUCUCCUGCAGGGUCAAGCAUCACCAUUUAAUCCUCCUCAUUAAUAAGAAGUGUGAGCAGGAGCCCCUAUCCUUCCCCCACCACCCCGCGUCACGCCUGAGCCUGGUUGCGUGUCUGUGUGUGUGCAUCCCCGUGAGCACGUCCAGGAGCAGACCUAAUCGUUAUCCACGGCCAGAGCAUGAAUAAGAGGAUUUGCUUCCCUUUAAGCAAGUAAUAAUCAACACCCAGUGAGAAGGACUUAUGACCGUUACAUCUCAUUAAUGUGUUUUGACAGACAAUAGCCUCUAUGAAUACACUUUGAAGAAAGACCAGCUUUGGAGAGGGCACAGUGUUUGCAAACUCACUUUACUUCUUCAACUCCCUUCGCACUGCUUAGGGAGAAGAGAAGGACUCCAGGUUGGUAUAAAUGCUUGCUGGAACAAGGAAAUGUAUAUGCUGAGCUGCAGCAGCUGGCUUUAUCCAAUGUCGUAUUGCGAUCUCUUGCCUCUUAUUUCUCCAUGCUGAUUCUGAGUGACUGGCAGCUGCAUCUCUCAAGGACCCCACUGCAAGCCUCAUGCAGAAGCAUAAUAAACGUGACUUCCACUCCAAAGAAACUACAGCAAGAGUAGGCGGCGAAACAGAAACAGUGAGAUCAUUAUGGACAGUGUAGCUACUGGAAUGUUUUCUAUGGGAGACCUCUGUAAGUGCCAGGGGCACUGGUUGGGCUCGGCUGGAGGUGCAGAGCUGCAGGCACAGGGCACCUGAGGGAGCUUCAGGCAAAGCAAAGACGGCGGAAGUUAAAUUGGUGUGGCACAGCCUCUGUGGGGGCUGCAAGGCAUGGUUUAUUUGCCAUCUGUGAGGACUGAUUUCUUCUGUACACACAGGUUUACCUGGUGGCCACGUGUGGUGGCCGGGGCCUGCAAGGUUGUUAAAUACAUGGCCGCUGUGUGGAGUAACCUCACGUAAAACAUCUCCUCCUCUACCACUUCUCGUAUCCGUCACUCCGUCCUGCAAAGCUGGAGUGCCUCAUGCUCCAGUCAAACUCCUAGUGAUGCCAGAAGGGCACAUGGAGCACACGUGAAGAGUGAUUUAGUUGGCUAAGACCUCGGGAGGUCAACUGGUCCAACCCAGUGCUCGCGGCAGAGCCAACAGAGACGAGAAGAAACGAGAACCGGCCUCAAAGGAGCAUGCUGAAAACAAGCCUCACCUCCGGCUGACCCUGAACUUUAAAAAUGUCCAUGUCAGAAGCCAGACUGAAUUGCGUGUGUCAGACCCAUUUCUAAUUGGCGGUGUCUUUUAUGUAAUUGCGCUUUCAAGAGCCAGAUAUUAUUAUUACCUGCUGUCAAUGGGCAUUGGCUUUUGGAAAGCACAGUGGCUGACUUUAUGUGUCUGCUUUUAGGAAGGACCUUUCAUCAUUUAUUUGAGACAGGGAACCCUCUGUUUCCCUGUUAUUUAGCAGACAGCGGCCGUGCUGGGCUCUGGGUGCCCGAUGGCACGUCAGCUCGGCCCGGCUCUGUGCCACAGGGCUGCUCUCUGGGCAAGGCCCUUGGUCCCAAGCAACGUGGCCGGCCCAACGCCUUCCAUCUCCCAAAUGCUGCUGCUCCCGGUUCGCGUGCUGCAGCGCUGUGACUGGCACUCCUCCUUGGGGAGAUAGUGGCACAAAUGCGAUUACACAGGAGAGUGUGUGUUUGUACGGCCUGAGCCUCACCAUCUCUCCCUGUUUCCCGUGCAAAAAUCACAGCAGAGCAAAACCCGAGGCUCGCAGUGCCCCAUGCAGCGCUGCGUGGGAGAAGGAAUAGGAAAGACCGUAUCAUCGUGAAGCUGCGGCCAGGUCCUGCCAUUUCUGCGCCUGACAUUGUGUGCGCUGUUGGACUUCUGGUCACUGUCACCCAGUGCGUCCUGCCAUUUGGCAGGGGGGAGAGCUGGAGCAGGCAGUGCUUCCCAGCAGAUCGUGCCUGGCUGUGGAAAAGCUGAGCGAGAUGACUCACUUUGUGUAAAGGACACCGAAAUUACAACUGCGUGCCACAUGAGAGAUGGUGGCUGGGCUGGAAUCAGAAAACAUCCUCAUCCAGGAAGGGUAUUCAAGCAUGUGCUUAAUUUAAGAACGUACUUAAUCAGGGCCUUCGGGCAUAAAAGGGUAAUGAUUAUUCUUGUGUUGCUGAGAAAAUCCAAGUGACAUCCGGAAGAUCUAUUACUCUGGAAAAUUCAGUGUUAUUCCAGCGUCCUCAUUUCAUCUUUCAAUUUCUGAAAAAGUAAUUCUUUUAAUUCCUCAUUGCUAUCUAGUGCUGUGAGUUCCUUCGCAGCUGUUUUACCCUCGAUUGUUAAUGCCAAGUGGAAUCAGAAAAUAUAAUCUGGUUCAGAUAAUAAUUAUGGAAGAUCAAUCCCGCAUCCGCCGCUUCCCUCCAUCCCCAUUAAACUUCCCAGCAUGUAAGAUAUGCAUGCUUGGCUCUGCAGGGAAGGCCAGCCAUGGUAAAAGGACCUUUAUUCCCUCUUGUACUCACAGUUUAACCAUUUCAAAACACCAUCUCCAUCCCCAGUGUUUUUCAUUGUGUUCGUUCCCAACUUCUUCUCUACGUAAUAUGUAAUUCCUGCAGAGAUUAGGUAUGGCGUUUGUGAUUUUAAGUAUGCUACAUGUAUUUGUUUUCUUUACAUUAUCAAGUGACUGUCUUCAUUAGCAGAUAAUUAGCGCCCAUCAGAGUCCCAGAGUUGUCCCAAAGAAGCGGGCCAACCGGAGUGGCCUUGGCUUCUCCUGGUGAAUGACUUUGGACACCGCUGUACCACGGGGUUCUGAAAGGGGCUUGGGAAGCUGGGACACAGGUGGCUUUCCCACCCCCUCCCCUGGGAGAUAUCCAGCCUGCUGCUCGUGGGCAGGGCCUCAUCUGUGAGGUACUUUUAAGAUACCAUACAAAAAUAAAUAGGGGUACGUGUUUUAAGACUGAUUCUUGGUCUUGGAGAUAAGCAAGGGCUGUCAUCGGCUACAGUGCAAGUGUGCUUGUUCAUUUAUUGACUUUGGGUUAAAUCAUGUUCUUCUUCCUUGGGUAAUUACUCCCCCUAAAUCCAAUAUGACUGUCGGGAUGAAUAAAACCAGUGGAAUUUGGCCCCUUUCGGGAGACAGCAAUCAUAGAUCUAGUUGCCAGCCCAAAGCCAGAUGCUAGAAGCAGUGCUGAGGCUUUCCUGGAGGAAAAAAACGGAGCAUAGGACUAGGGGGAUGGCGGCUUCCAGAAGAACAGGAAAAUCCAACUGAAUUUAACUGUAAUAGUUAUUAUUACGAUGGGCGUUAACUAGGCAUCGGGAAGGUGUGUUCUCCUCUGCCCCCACUGAUGUUCCUCACACAGCCCAUCCCUCUCAAAGAUGUGCUUAAGUACACUUAUGAGUGGAUUCUGUCUGAAGACAGGGUGCACAAGCAAGUGCAAGCUACCACAAGCAUGUUUUAUCACACCGAUGAUGGUGACAAAAUGUCUUGGUCAGGGGCUAUGGAUACAGAGUACAGUAUGCAACACUACUAAGGAAGAGGGGAUUUUUUCAGCUGUUUUCACCUCUGCUUUCUUUUCAUUUUGCUUUUUUGAACAAUGUGUCUUAAUCUAGCUCUAUGGAGGUAGGGUGAGAGUUAUGUGUGCGAGAAGUGCCUGAAAUCACUUUGUUUCUGCUUGUCUUUCAUACGUUCAGUAGGAUAAAUAACUGCCGAG
rnacentral:lncRNA from 1 species